rnacentral:rRNA from 1 species
AUUAAACGCUGGCGGCAUGCCUUACACAUGCAAGUCGAACGGCAGCACGGGGGGAACCCUGGUGGCGAGUGGCGAACGGGUGAGUAAAGCAUCGGAACGUGCCCUGGAGUGGGGGAUAACGUAGCGAAAGUUACGCUAAUACCGCAUAUUCUGUGAGCAGGAAAGCAGGGGAUCGCAAGACCUUGCGCUCUGGGAGCGGCCGAUGUCGGAUUAGCUAGUUGGUGGGGUAAAGGCCUACCAAGGCGACGAUCCGUAGCGGGUCUGAGAGGAUGAUCCGCCACACUGGGACUGAGACACGGCCCAGACUCCUACGGGAGGCAGCAGUGGGGAAUUUUGGACAAUGGGCGAAAGCCUGAUCCAGCCAUGCCGCGUGAGUGAAGAAGGCCUCGGUUGUAAG